UUAAAGGAAGUUGACGGGGCCGCACAAGCGGUGGAUUAUGUGGAUUAAUUCGAUGCAACGCGAAAACCUUACCUACCCUUGACAUGCUAGGAACUGCCAGAGAUGGCUUGGUGACCCGAAAGGGAACCUAGACACAGGUGCUGCAUGGCUGUCGUCAGCUCGUGUCGUGAGAUGUUGGGUUAAGUCCCGCAACGAGCGCAACCCUUGUCAUUAAUUGCCAUCAUUCAGUUGGGCACUUUAAUGAGACUGCCGGUGACAAACCGGAGGAAGGUGGGGAUGACGUCAAGUCCUCAUGGCCCUUAUGGGUAGGGCUUCACACGUAAUACAAUGGUCGGUACAGAGGGUUGCCAACCCGCGAGGGGGAGCCAAUCCCAGAAAACCGAUCGUAGUCCGGAUUGCAGUCUGCAACUCGACUGCAUGAAGUCGGAAUCGCUAGUAAUCGCGGAUCAGCAUGUCGCGGUGAAUACGUUCCCGGGCCUU
rnacentral:rRNA from 1 species